rnacentral:rRNA from 1 species
CGAGUGAAGCGGCAAAAGCUCAAAUUUGAAAUCUAGUACCUUCGGUGCUCGAGUUGUAAUUUGUAGAAGGUAACUUUGGGGCUGGUCCUUGUCUAUGUUCCUUGGAACAGGACGUCAUAGAGGGUGAGAAUCCCGUGUGGCGAGGAAUUCAGUCCUUUGUAAAGUGCUUUCGAAGAGUCGAGUUGUUUGGGAAUGCAGCUCUAAGUGGGUGGUAAAUUCCAUCUAAAGCUAAAUAUUGGCGAGAGACCGAUAGCGAACAAGUACAGUGAUGGAAAGAUGAAAAGAACUUUGAAAAGAGAGUGAAAAAGUACGUGAAAUUGUUGAAAGGGAAGGGCAUUUGAUCAGACAUGGUGUUUUGUGCCCCUCGCUCCUUGUGGGUGGGGGAAUCUCGCAGCUCACUGGGCCAGCAUCAGUUUUGGCGGUAGGAUAAAUUCGUAGGAACGUAACUUGCUUCGGGAAGUAUUAUAGCCUGCGAAAAUACUGCCAGCCGGGACUGAGGACUGCGACCAUUCUCCAAGG